UACGGAGGAUGCGAGCGUUGUCCGGAUUUACUGGGCGUAAAGGGAGCGUAGGCGGAUUUUUAAGUGAGAUGUGAAAUACUCGGGCUCAACUUGAGUGCUGCAUUUCAAACUGGAAGUCUAGAGUGCAGGAGAGGAGAAUGGAAUUCCUAGUGUAGCGGUGAAAUGCGUAGAGAUUAGGAAGAACACCAGUGGCGAAGGCGAUUCUCUGGACUGUAACUGACGCUGAGGCUCGAAAGCGUGGGGAGCAAACAGG
rnacentral:rRNA from 1 species